CUUCCACAAAAACGACCUCCCGAAGAGACCACUGCUCUUCGUUCACCUUUUCCUCCUCUUUCGGGGCAGGGGUGGACCGUCGUCGUUCUUAGACAACAACAAAAUGGUGUCUGGAAACCCUCAUCUACUCUCUCCAAGGCUGCCUGCUGCAUCAAAUCCUAACAUCUCUCUCUCACACUCCCUUCUCCUUCCUUUGGUUAAAGGAUGAUGGAAUCAGACCAAGUGAGCCCCCAAACUAGGAUCCAACACUUAACAAGUAUGUGACUCUGGAUUCGUUAUGUAAAGAAAUAUAAAACAAUCAAACAUGGUCCACAAUAGCCA